AAGGAGCUCGGCUCCGAGCCUAAAGAGCUGGCUCCGAGCCUAAGGAGCUCCUUAGGCUCAGAGCCGAGCUCGGAGCCAGCUCUUUAGGCUCGGAGCCGAGCUC